rnacentral:rRNA from 1 species
UGACGCUGGCGGCAGCCUAACACAUGCAAGUCGAACGGUAACAGGAAGCAGCUUGCUUCUUUGCUGACGAGUGGCGGACGGGUGAGUAAUGUCUGGGAAACUGCCUGAUGGAGGGGGAUAACUACUGGAAACGGUAGCUAAUACCGCAUAACGUCGCAAGACCAAAGAGGGGGACCUUCGGGCCUCUUGCCAUCGGAUGUGCCCAGAUGGGAUUAGCUAGUAGGUGGGGUAACGGCUCACCUAGGCGACGAUCCCUAGCUGGUCUGAGAGGAUGACCAGCCACACUGGAACUGAGACACGGUCCAGACUCCUACGGGAGGCAGCAGUGGGGAAUAUUGCACAAUGGGCGCAAGCCUGAUGCAGCCAUGCCGCGUGUAUGAAGAAGGCCUUCGGGUUGUAAAGUACUUUCAGCGGGGAGGAAGGGAGUAAAGUUAAUACCUUUGCUCAUUGACGUUACCCGCAGAAGAAGCACCGGCUAACUCCGUGCCAGCAGCCGCGGUAAUACGGAGGGUGCAAGCGUUAAUCGGAAUUACUGGGCGUAAAGCGCACGCAGGCGGUUUGUUAAGUCAGAUGUGAAAUCCCCGGGCUCAACCUGGGAACUGCAUCUGAUACUGGCAAGCUUGAGUCUCGUAGAGGGGGGUAGAAUUCCAGGUGUAGCGGUGAAAUGCGUAGAGAUCUGGAGGAAUACCGGUGGCGAAGGCGGCCCCCUGGACGAAGACUGACGCUCAGGUGCGAAAGCGUGGGGAGCAACAG